CCUACGGGUGGCAGCAGUGAGGAAUAUUGGUCAAUGGUCGGGAGACUGAACCAGCCAAGCCGCGUGAGGGAUGAAGGUACAGAGUAUCGUAAACCUCUUUUGUCAGGGAACAAAGGCGGGGACGCGUCCCCGGAUGAGUGUACCUGAAGAAAAAGCAUCGGCUAACUCCGUGCCAGCAGCCGCGGUAAUACGGAGGAUGCGAGCGUUAUCCGGAUUUAUUGGGUUUAAAGGGUGCGCAGGCGGUCUGUUACGUCAGGGGUAAAAGCCCGGGGCUCAACCCCGGCCCGCCGUUGAAACUGGAGGUCUGGAGUUGGAGAGAGGUAUGCGGAAGGGGCGG
rnacentral:rRNA from 1 species